ACCAGAGCCGUGGUGGUGCGGUGCAGGAAAUCCUGCCGGGCGGCGCGGAUCUUGCGGUGCGCGCGGGCGACCUUGGCCUUGGCCUUGCGGCGGUUGCCGCUACCGCGUUCGCAGCGGGCCAUCCGCCGUUGGUAGCGGGCCAGGUUGCGGGCCUUGCGGACCAGAUGCCGCGGGUUCGCGAUCCGUUCACCGUCACUGGUCACCACCAGAUCUGUGAGGCCGAGGUCGACGCCGAUCGCGUGCCCGGCGGGCUCAGCCGGGGCGGGCUCGGCGGUGUCCACGGCGAACGCCACGUACCAGCGGCCGUCCGGCUCGCGGGACACCACCACCAUCGUCGGAUCCAGCGCGGCCAGGUCCACCUCGCCGAAGGACCAGACCAACCGCAGCGGUGUGCUGGUCUUGGCCAGUGUCAGCACACCCUCGCGCAUCCGGAACGCCGAGCGGGUGUAGUGCGCGCUCUGCCGCCCGGUACGGGACUUGAACCUCGGGAAACGGGCCCGCCCGGCGAAGAAGUUGCCGAACGCGGUGUGCUGAUGGCGCAGCGUCUGCUGCAACGGCACACAGGACACCUCCGACAGAAACGCGAGUUCCUCGG
rnacentral:antisense_RNA from 1 species